rnacentral:rRNA from 1 species
GACGAACGCUGGCGGCGUGCUUAACACAUGCAAGUCGAACGGAAGGGCCCGGCUUUGUGGGGGUGCUGGAGGGGCAAAGGGGGGAGAAACACGGGAGUAACCGGCCCUGGACUGGGGGAUAACUUCAGAAAAGGGGGGCUAAUACCGAAGAGGAGCUCUGGCGGCUGGGGGGGGGUUGGAAAGUUUCGGCGGUUGUGAGUGGACUGGCGGCUAAUAAGCUGGUUGGGGGGGUAGUGGCUUACCAAGGCUUUGACGGGUGGCCGGCCUGGGGGGGUAACCGGCCACCUUGGGCCUGCGAUACGGCCCAGACUCCUACGGGAGGCAGCAGUGGGGAAUAUUGCACAAUGGGCGGAAGCCUGAUGCAGCAACGCCGCGUGCGGGAUGCCGGCCUUCGGGUUGUAAACCGCUUUCGCCUGUGACGAAGCGUGAGUGACGGUAAUGGGUAAAGAAGCACCGGCUAACUACGUG